UACGGGGGGGGGCAAGCGUUGUUCGGAAUUACUGGGCGUAAAGGGCGCGUAGGCGGUGCUCUAAGUCGGAUGUGAAAACUCUGGGCUCAACCCAGAGCCUGCAUCCGAAACUGGAGUGCUAGAGUUCUGGAGGGGGUAGCGGAAUUCCUGGUGUAGCGGUGAAAUGCGUAGAUAUCAGGAGGAACACCGGUGGCGAAGGCGGCUACCUGGACAGAAACUGACGUGAGGCGCGAAAGCUAGGGGAGCAAACAGG
rnacentral:rRNA from 1 species